GAGCUCUCAAUCUGUCAAUCCUUCCAGUGUCCGGGCCUGGUGAGAUUUCCCGUGUUGAGUCAAAUUAAGCCGCAGGCUCCACUCCUGGUGGUGCCCUUCCGUCAAUUCCUUUAAGUUUCAGCUUUGCAACCAUACUUCCCCCGGAACCCACAAGCUUUGGUUUCCCGGAAGCUUCCCGCAGAGCCUACAAUAAAAACGUCUGCGGAUCGCUAGCUGGCAUCGUUUAUGGUUAGAACUAGGGCGGUAUCUGAUCGCCUUCGAACCUCUAACUUUCGUUCUUGAUUAAUGAAAACAUUCUUGGCAAAUGCUUUCGCAGUAGUUAGUCUUCAAACGGUCCAAGAAUUUCACCUCUGUCGCUUGAAUACUAAUGCCCCCGACUGUCCCUAUUAAUCAUUACGUCGAUUUCCGAAAACCAACAAAAUAGAAACGACGUCCUAUUCUAUUAUUCCAUGCACGAAUAUUCAAGCGUGUGAAGCCUGCUUUGAGCACUCUAAUUUUUUCAAAGUAAACCUGACGGCAUCCAGGACACUCGAUUAAGAGCACCCUGGAACCUCCGUCAAAAACACGGGUAAAUGGGGCAGUAGCGUCAAAUAACGAACCGCCCCCUACCCGCCGUGAUCCAACUACGAGCUUUUUAACCGCAACAACUUUAAUAUACGCUAUUGGAGCUGGAAU
rnacentral:rRNA from 1 species